GGGGCUGUAGCGCAGCUGGUAGCGCACCUCGUUCGCAACGAGGGGGUCAGGGGUUCGAGUCCCCUCAGCUCCACCA
rnacentral:tRNA from 2 species